CAAGAUAUGUGGUUUUGGAUUAGGGUAGGACUCAAGAUAUGUGACUUCCAAGGGAACUGCAAACUCAAGAUAUGUGGUCUUGGACUAGCAAGAUUUGCAUCCAGUGACACCCCUACAACAGUUUUCUGGAUGGACCAUGUCGCCACCUGAUGGUAUAGAGCUCAUGAACUCUGUAAUGUUCUAUCAUUACCAAGUGUUGUUAACAAUUUCCAGAGGCUAACUUAGAGGAAGAUAGAGGAAAGAGCAGGGCAGUUGAGGGGAAGUACAUUUCUCACUUGAGGUAACUUACAUUAUUAUAUUUCUCCGAAAUGUAAUUGAUUAUAUAUAUAGGCUCUCAAUUAUUUUGUGCUGCCAAUGACAUACAUAGUUUGUGUUAAAAUGAUUAGGAGUACCAAAAGGCAUUAGUCAGUUAAUGUGAAGUGUUUCUGUAUUUAGAAAUCUUGAAAUUGGCUCUUUUCAUUAUCAUUUUCAUGAUCCUAAUGUCUAUGCGAAUUAUUUCUGUAUUUAAAAAACUUGAAAUUGGCUCUUUUGGUGAAACGGCAAGAAGCACUUUAGCCUCGUUGCAUUAAAGAUGAGAAGAACAUAAUGUACACGUGUGGGUGGACGCAAACAUCCCCCCGUAGGGGGCAAACUGGGCGCAAGCAUGAAAGAAGAGGCACAUUGGCCAACAAACACCCCUUUCUCCGAAUGUACAACCCAUAAACUCGGGCCUGAAUUCGUAGGCGUGCAUCAUCGUAGAUCUUCUAAAACACUUGGUGCACGCUGCAUUACAAAGACCUUCUUGCCACAAUUGGCUUGUGCUUGUAGAUGGAUGCCAAUUAUGGAGCGUGGAGAUGAAUCA